AAAUUGAAGAGUUUGAUCAUGGCUCAGAUUGAACGCUGGCGGCAGGCCUAACACAUGCAAGUCGAACGGUAACAGGAAACAGCUUGCUGUUUCGCUGACGAGUGGCGGACGGGUGAGUAAUGUCUGGGAAACUGCCCGAUGGAGGGGGAUAACUACUGGAAACGGUAGCUAAUACCGCAUAACGUCGCAAGACCAAAGAGGGGGACCUUCGGGCCUCUUGCUAUCGGAUGUGCCCAGAUGGGAUUAGCUAGUAGGUGGGGUAACGGCUCACCUAGGCGACGAUCCCUAGCUGGUCUGAGAGGAUGACCAGCCACACUGGAACUGAGACACGGUCCAGACUCCUACGGGAGGCAGCAGUGGGGAAUAUUGCACAAUGGGCGCAAGCCUGAUGCAGCCAUGCCGCGUGUAUGAAGAAGGCCUUCGGGUUGUAAAGUACUUUCAGCGGGGAGGAAGGGAGUAAAGUUAAUACCUUUACUCAUUGACGUUACCCGCAGAAGAAGCACCGGCUAACUCCGUGCCAGCAGCCGCGGUAAUACGGAGGGUGCA
rnacentral:rRNA from 1 species